UACGAAGGGGGCUAGCGUUGCUCGGAUUGACUGGGCGUAAAGGGCGCGUAGGUGGUUCGUUAAGUCUGAUGUGAAAGCCCUGGGCUCAACCUGGGAAUGGCAUUGGAAACUGGCGACCUAGAGUGCGGUAGAGGGUAGUGGAAUUCCCGGUGUAGCAGUGAAAUGCGUAGAGAUCGGGAGGAACAUCUGUGGCGAAGGCGACUGCCUGGACCAGCACUGACACUGAGGCACGAAAGCGUGGGGAGCAAACAGG
rnacentral:rRNA from 1 species